UUGUCCUCCCUUCAGCAGCAAAUAUACUAAAAUUGGAAUGAUACAGAGAAGAUUAGUAUGGCCCCUUCUCAAGGAAGAUGUGCAAAUUCAUGAAGCAUUCCAUAUUAUU